AUUGAACGCUGGCGGCAGGCUUAACACAUGCAAGUCGAGCGGGGAAGGGUAGCUUGCUACCUGACCUAGCGGCGGACGGGUGAGUAAUGCUUAGGAAUCUGCCUAUUAGUGGGGGACAACAUUCCGAAAGGAAUGCUAAUACCGCAUACGCCCUACGGGGGAAAGCAGGGGAUCUUCGGACCUGGCGCUAAUAGAUGAGCCUAAGUCAGAUUAGCUAGUUGGUGGGGUAAAGGCCUACCAAGGCGACGAUCUGUAGCGGGUCUGAGAGGAUGAUCCGCCACACUGGGACUGAGACACGGCCCAGACUCCUACGGGAGGCAGCAGUGGGGAAUAUUGGACAAUGGGCGAAAGCCUGAUCCAGCCAUGCCGCGUGUGUGAAGAAGGCCUUUUGGUUGUAAAGCACUUUAAGCGAGGAGGAGGCUACUUGGAUUAAUACUCUAGGAUAGUGGACGUUACUCGCAGAAUAAGCACCGGCUAACUCUGUGCCAGCCGCCGCCGUAACAC
rnacentral:rRNA from 1 species